GCAGAGCUCUGAAGACAGGGGCUUGUGUUCUCAUCCCACCUCACCCUCUCAUAAGGACUACUUUCUCUUUGUCUCAGCUGCUUUUCCUGACAGAAUGGGACUUGAUAAAAGUUUACAGGCCUAAAAGUAGAAUUGUUCUUGCCUAUGGUAAAUGGUUAAUAAAUGUUAGUGUUAACCCUUUGCUUACUUCUCAGCCCCAUAAAGUCACAAGCUAACCUUUCUAAUCCUGGCUUAGAACCUGCUGUUGUACUUAAAACCCGUGCCUCCUGAAAACUCACGCUGCUUCACUCCAGUCAGGUGGCUCCAGGGGUCUGCUACAUCCCAUGUGCCAGCUCAAGCCCAUCACCUGUUAUUUACGGGUAGCUUUACUGGAACAGCGUAUUCAUAUGCUGUUGAUCGCCACUUGACUCAUUGCACACCCUGUGUUCUUUCUUCACUUUGAUGUACUUUCCUCUUUCUCAAUCUCACUCCCAUCCGUGUUAAUCCCUUUUCAGUCAUUAAUUUUCAGCAUUCAGCAUAUGCUGGCUCCCUUUGCCUUCACCAUCUCUACUACUUACUCAGAACUUACCAAAGAGAGAUGACACAGCGCUGCCUUUGCAGUGAUCUCGAUCCCCCCACCCCCACCCCCAGAUAUGUUCUGCAUGCAUCAAAGGCAAGGACCAUGGCGGCUGACAGUGCUGCUGCAUGUUGCUUUAGGUGAGGCAUUUGGUUUAGUUUGGUUUUUAUUUUCCUGGAGGAUUCUCUACUUGUUAACAUAGAAUAGAGUCCUUACUGUAUGCCAGCUCUGUUCUAAGUGCUUUAUGUGCAUUCACUUUACUUCACAGUGAUUUUAUGAGCUAGAUAGCUGCUGUCAUUUUAUACAUGCACAAGAGGUGUACAAGUGAACUGGUUUUUUUCCAAGGAUGCCCAGCUAGCAAGUGACAGAGUUGUCAAGAUUAAGUGUAACACAAUAUUCUAUGUAGUAGAAUAAUACUUGACUGUAAAUGUGCAUUUAAUAUUAGCUGUUAGUAUACUCCUAGGCAAAGCCUUUUGCCUUGUUUUGUUUUGCUUAGAAUUUGACAGUUUAAUUUCAAAGUAGCACAACAAAUGGAGAUUGGCUGCAUGGCAUGUUUGAUAGCCAAACAGUAGAAAUGUUAACAAAGACUGAAUAGUGCUCAAAACAGUUCUGAAGCAGAUCAGUGUGCAUGUGAGAAUUAAAUUUGAAGAGUGAACUCACAGGAAUAAAGACCUUUAGGUGACUUCUGGGACUGCCCCCACCUGCUGCUGGACCUGACCCCCAUUGGCUGUUCUCGUGAUCCACUGGUAGAGUGGAGUAGUUGCAGCUGAGACCAUGGAGCCUACAGACCCCAGGACACUGACUCUUGGCCCCUUACAGAGAGGUUGCCAGCCCCUGAAGUAGCUCAAGGAGAUGGAAUAGAAUCUGCAAAUAGAACCACAAAUGCAAAAAAAAAAAAAAAAAAAAAAACCACAAAUGCAGUUAUUUGGCUUUCAGCAGCAUUGCCAAGGCAGUGACAUGAGGAAGUCUUUUCAGCCCCUAACUAACGAUUGGGUAUUUGUAUGGGAAGAAAUGAACGUUGACUACUACCGUCCACCUUCUACAAAAACUAAUUCAGAGUAGGUUCGAAGUCUUAAACCUAAGCACUUCAGCUUCUAAAAGAAAACAUGAAUAUCUAAACCGCUUUGGAAUGAGCAAAGUUUUCUUAGAACACAAAGCACAAGUCACAGAAGAAAAAUGCACUGGGAUUUUACCACAAUGAAAUUUUUCUGUUCUUCAGAAUGAACAAGUAGGCCUUGGCCUGCCAUGAAGAAAAUGAUCUCUGGGUGCCCUGAUAAAGGACUCAUCCCCUGAAGAUAGAAAAAUGCAAAUCAAAAAUAAGAUGGAAAACCCAGUUUAACAAAUGGGCAGGAGACAGCAUCACAAAGAAGGUACAUGAGUGGCCAAGAAUAUGAAAAAUCAUUCAGUGUCAAUAGUCUUCCAGGAAUGCAAAUUAAAACCACAAAAAGCAUUUCCCAUCUGAAGAAUGGAUAAAGUUAAAAAAAAAAAAACUGACAAUACCAAGUACUGAUGAGAAUGUAAAGCCACUGGGACUCACAUUGCUGUCUAAAAGAAGGCAUCCAACAUGGAAAUCUGUUGGGCAAGGUUCCAGUUUUUUAAAUUGGGGAUAUUUCUACCUUAUGACUUGGCCAUUCUAGAUAUUCAUCCAA
rnacentral:lncRNA from 1 species